rnacentral:tRNA from 1 species
CUGGAGGGACGCUCAGCGGUUAAGAGCACUGGCUGCUCUUCCAGAGGUCCUGGGUUCAAUUCCCAGCAACCACA